GGGAGGGACGGCCGGUGCCAGCCCCCACUUGACUUCGCGGAGCUGGAAGCGUUCGGGGAGACAAGGGUGUCCGUGGGGCAGCAGGACCGGGCCCCUCGCGUGAGUCUGGCCCUCCCUCUGGCCGGGAGACCGGGCGGGAGCGGCGCUGGGGUACUGUCGGAGGUGGAGUGAGCUCCACAGCAGGAGCUGCUGGCACCAGUGGGCCAUCGAGCUUAAUGUUGUCAGAUUAAGAGGAAGCCAUGUGCGUCAUUAAUACAUCGACAUAUUAAGCAGCCACCAACCUUAACGACCAUGUAAAUAUGGAACAGACUCACUAAGAAAAAGCCAAAGUAAGACAGAAUGCAUACAGGACAGGAGAAAGUGGCAAAGAAUUGAGGAAAUUCAUGUAUCUAUCUGAUGCUUUGGGGUCUCCAGCCGCUGCACCUUUAGUCAGAAGAUGGAAUUUGAAGUCAAAUUAUUUCUGUGGACUGUGAAGGCUGAAAUGUUAGUGGGUGACCUUCCUCCCUCUGCAGUGUGUAGAGGUAAGAACAAGGAUAAUAAAAGAAAGUGUUAAGGAAGGUAACUUCUGCCAUUAUUACCAGCUUAGCUUAAAAAGCUUUCAGAAUGAUUCCAAGGGUAUCUUUCUGUUAAGUAACGAGCAAAACAAUUCAUCUCUGGGGGUUUAGAAUGGAAAAUUGCUUUAAUACAAUGACUUUGUAGAGAAUAUGUCAAGCCAUCUAAAGCAAGAUAAUUUAAUUAUAGUUCUUUACUUGCUUCCUACUGAUGAUAAUAUCUUUAGUGGUAUUAUUUUGUGCUCUCUUUUCCAAGUAACCCAAGAGAUGCCACAAAGGCUGAGUUUAGAUCUAAAUACAGUUGUAACUGUAUUUAACGGGGGUUUUAGUAUUUACAGUUGUUUACAGUAUUUACAGAUUUUACAGUUAUUGGUAUUUUUACAGGUUUUAACUAUAUUUUUAACAUCCUUGUAACUGUAAAAUUAAGAUAAAAACCAUGAGCAGCA